ensembl:misc_RNA Metazoa_SRP Metazoan signal recognition particle RNA
GCCGGGCGUGGUGGCGUGCACCUGUAGUCCCAGCUACUCGGAAGGCUGAGCCCGCCGGAUUGCUUGAGCCCAGGAGUUCUGGGCUGCAGUGCGCUAUGCUGAGCGGGCGUCCAGUUAAUAAUAUGGUGAGCCCCAGGGAGCUGGGACACACCAGGUUGACUAAGGAGGGGUGAACCGGCCCAGGUCGGAGAUGGAGCAGGUCAAAGCUCCUGUGCCGGUCGGUAGUGGGAUCGUGCCUGUGAAUAGCCACUGCAGCAUAGCCUGGGCAACACAGAGAGAUGUGGGUUCCU